rnacentral:rRNA from 1 species
GAUGAACGCUGGCGGCGUGCCUAAUACAUGCAAGUCGAGCGAACAGAUGAGGAGCUUGCUCCUCUGACGUUAGCGGCGGACGGGUGAGUAACACGUGGAUAACCUACCUAUAAGACUGGGAUAACUUCGGGAAACCGGAGCUAAUACCGGAUAAUAUAUUGAACCGCAUGGUUCAAUAGUGAAAGACGGUUUUGCUGUCACUUAUAGAUGGAUCCGCGCCGCAUUAGCUAGUUGGUAAGGUAACGGCUUACCAAGGCAACGAUGCGUAGCCGACCUGAGAGGGGGAGCGGCCACACGGGAACGGAGACACGGCCCAAACCCCUAGGGGGGGCAGCAGUGGGGAAUCUUCCGCAAGGGGCGAAAGCCUGACGGGGCAACGCCGCGUGAGGGAUGAAGGUUUUCGGAUCGUAAAACUUUGUUAUUAGGGAAGAACAAAUGGGUAAGUAACUAUGCACGUUUUGACGGUACCAAAUCAAAAAGCCACGGCUAACUACGU